GGCCUCCCUCUGCAGGGCAAUCGAUCUGGGGGCCCUGGGAUCGAUCGCCCUGCAGAGGGAGGCC
rfam:Myotis lucifugus cont2.31007, whole genome shotgun sequence.